UUUUUUUUUCUAGCAGCCGUACCCUCAAGAACUGUACCUUCCAACCACCCUUACAUGAGCCUGCUCCAAAACCUUGCCAGCCAGCACUUCCAGGUUACGACUAUUGACCUCCAGCUCCCAGUUUCAGAGAGUUCUCCCAGUCUCCUGGAUCACGCUGGUCUGAAAGCUGUUUGGUAGACAACCUUCAAGUCUUUCUGCCUUCAUACUGAUAUAUUGUCCAUGAGAUCUUGCCCUGUGAAGUCUUUCCUGGCACAUAGUUACGCAUGCUGUUGUUGACUGUUGACACAUAUCAUCGGCUAAGAGCAGUGGCUGGCUUUGCAACAGCUCCACCUUCCCUGAAUACUCCUUCAGUGUCUCUGACGUCUAGGCCAAGUUUGUGUACUUAGCUCCAUGACAGCAUCAAGAUACAAACCAGAAGAACUGAUGGAUUUCAGUCCAUCCUCUGGAGCUCAUGCCUGUGGGAUACAGCUUGUCUUUGCUGUCUUCCCCUCUACAUCCAUGUCUCCUUCCUAACUGUCUGUGCUGUGGACUUCAAACUCCAGCAUCAGACGUGAAGACAACAUCCUACAGAGAUUGCUUUAAGCAGCUCCCACAGUUAUAACAACAUCAUGGCCCUAUAGCAAAUAUCAUAAAAGUUUUUCUGCACCUAUAUUCACAAACAUAAAAUCUUUUAAUGGUUCUGUUUCUCAGUUGAAUCAUGACUGAUACAAUAUGAGAAGCAGUAUAUUAUUAUUUAUAGGUAAGAUGUCAUUAAUUAAAGAUGCAUGGGUCAGGCAUGGUGGCUCAUCCCUGUAAUUCAAGCACUCUGAGAUACCAAGGUAGAAGGAUCCUUUGAGGCCAGGAAUUUGAGACCAGCCUGGGUAACAUAGUGAGACUCUGUCUCUACGAAAAAAAUCUUUUAAGGUGCAUGUUAUAAACCUAGGGAACCAUUAAAAUAUUUUUAAAAGAAGCAUAAAUGAUUUAAAAAAAAAAAAAUAGAGAUUAAAUGGAAUCAUUAAAAAUAAUUCAAAAUCAGUUAGAAAAAGAACAAAGAACAAAUACAGCAAAUAGAAACAAGAUAUGAGAUAGUAAAUUAAAAUCCAACUGUAUCAGUAGCUGUAUUUAAUUUAAAUGACCUAAACAUACCAACUAAAACACAGAUUAUCAAAUUAGAUAAAAAAGCAAGAAUCAACUAUAAUCUAUCUAUAAUAAAUUCACAUUAAAUAUAAAAGUAUACAGAUUAAAAGUAAAAGGGUGAAAAAUAUACAGUAUAUGCCAUGUGAACAGUUGCUCUAUUAGCAUUAGAUAAAAGGAAAUUCCAGAACAAAGAAUAUCUUCAGAAAUAAAAAGCCACCACAUAUAGUGUAAAAAGGCCAAUUCAUCAAGAAGAAAUAAAAAGACUAAAUGUGUAUGCACCUAACAACAGAGCUUUAAAAUGCAUAAAGCAAAACUGAUAGAACAGAAAGAAAAAAUAGACAAACCUACACUUAGAGACUGCAGCCUUCCUCUCUCGGUAAUAGAACAGAUGCACAGAAAAUCAGUAAAAUAUGUAGACUAGAACUACAUUGUUAAGCAACUUGACAACUUUGGUAUUUAUUGAAUGCUCUAUUCAGCAAUAGCAGAAUACACAUUCUUUUCAAGGACUCAUGGGACGUUUACCAAGAUACUGGGACAUAAAACAAACCUCAACAAAUUUAAAAGCAUUGAAAUCAUAUGAAGAAUGUUCUGUUAGUAUAGUGGAAUCAAACUGGAAAUCAAUAGCAGGAAGAUGUUUGAAAAAUCUCCCAAAUAUUUGGAAAUGAAAUGACUUAAUUCUGUUCAACCCAUAGGCAAAAAAGAAAGUCACAAGGGAAAUUAAAAUAUAUUUUGAAUGAAAAUGAAACAUCAAAUAUAAGAAUUUUGGAGAUGCAGUGCAUAGGGGGAAAUUUAUGUCAUUAAAUGUUUACACUUGUCAAGAAGAACGGCCUCAAGGUAAUGGUAUACUUUCACAGUAAGGACCUGGUGGGGGGUGGGGGGGGGCAGGAAGGAGCAAAUAAAAUACCAUAGCAAAGAAAAAGGAAUGCAAUAACUAAGAUCAGAAAUUAAUGACUUUGAAAAGAGCAACACAACAGAGAAAAAAAAAAAAACGAGUUGAUUCAGUGUGCCCCUAUUACUUUCUAGUUAAACAAAAAGAAAACUUUUGUUUCAAUAAUUACACUUAAAUUUUUAUUGGAUUUUUGGGGGGGUGAUUUUUUAUGUACUUUAGGAUGACAAAUAAAAACACAAGCAGUGCCUAAGUAGGCUCAUAAUUUUAAUUUCACUUAUCUGUAAUUUUGCCAAUGCUUACUUAUCAAUGCCUUUAAAGGUACAAUUUUAUGGAAAAUUUUUCCUACAGUCUGAACAUAUUUUCUGGUCUUUAAAAUGAAGUUAGUAUGCUGUAUACCAUCAGUAUAUAAACUUGAAACACUUAUAGAACAAACAUAUCAGAGAUCAAUAAAUCCUUUUGGGUCACUACAAA